UUCUUUGUAGUUCACGAGUGACUGGGUGUUCACGAGCAUGUGUGAGACUGUGCCACCCUCACACCUUGUUACCACGAUUGUGCACAUCACUCACCUGACA